UACGGAGGGGGCUAGCGUUGUUCGGAAUUACUGGGCGUAAAGCGCACGUAGGCGGACUGUUAAGUCGGGGGUGAAAUCCUGGGGCUCAACCUCAGAAUUGCCUCCGAUACUGGCAGUCUCGAGUGCGGGAGAGGUGAGUGGAAUUCCCAGUGUAGAGGUGAAAUUCGUAGAUAUUGGGAAGAACACCAGUGGCGAAGGCGGCUGCGCUGGCCCGUAACUGACGCCGUGAGGUGACGAAAGCGUGGGGAGCAAAACAGG
rnacentral:rRNA from 1 species